rnacentral:lncRNA from 1 species
AUACUUCAAACUCGAAAUCCUAGACCUUAAAUCUUAACCUUAACUUUAAACCUUAAAUUUUAAAUUUAUUAAUUUUGACCACAACCCUAAUUUCAUAAAAAGAUAAAAAUCUAAAACUUAAACUCUCUUUUCACUAAUCCCUUUUCUCUAUCACCAAUUGUAUGGUGGAGAUGAGAGUCCAUGUACGACCUUAGAUUGAUAUGUGCCUCAACCAAUAGCCAUGUGUCCCAAGUAGGUGCAACUAUUCAUUUCUGCCAGCCUGGCAUUCUUUUUGAAAACUCAUCUCUAUCUCUCUCGCCAUGGAAACAAAAGCUUCCAAAAUACCAAAAAUAUUUAUCAAAUAUCCUACAUCAACGCCUCUCUACAAGCUUAUGAAAUGAUACGAUUCAAGUCCAAAUCUUAAAUAUUCAUCCAUGCAUGUGGAGUAAUUAGAAGUUGAAUCAUCUUUAAGAUAGAUUUUGAAUAGAGAAAAUAGUGUGGGAAGAACUUAUAGAGACAGAAACAGUAAAACUAUCAUUUAAUCCUUUUAAAAUUUGUGAAAUUACAUGUUAAUAUUAGGGGUAAAGCCAAAAUUUUGUUUUGAUGCUAGAAAUGAACAAAAAAAAUUUAGAGUCAAAGCGGAAAUUUACCACUGUACUAACUUGUGAUUUCUUAAAAACUAAAAAGACUAUAUAAAAAAAAUUUCAUUUUUUGGAAGUCAAAGCGGCUCGCUGCCUUCCCCUCUUCUGCUUCUAGCUCCUCUACUUUUAAUUAAUAUAAUGAUAAAAUUAUACUUUACCUUCUCAAAAAUUUAUAAUUCAUUUAUAACCUUAAAACAACUUUAAACAAAAAUUAUUACAAGAUCCAAUUAGAUAAUUAAUGAGUUACUAGUUGUGAAUACAGGCAUGCACAUAUAUCUGGUUUUUUCCUCUAAAUAAUUUUAGAGCCGAAAGUAAAAAGUCAUCUCAUUUAUAUUUACUUGGUACAAUAAAUUUUUUUAGUGAAUUACAAGUGGAGGGCAAAGCUCUAACAACAACACAACUAGUGUGACUCGAACCCAAACCAUACCUAAGGUGCCCUGACCAUCAGGCUAACACACGAGGUUCACUUGGUACAAUAAUUAUCCAAGCAAUGGUUAUCAAGAGUUGAAUAUUUACCUUUUCACUUCCAUUUCUUUAAUUUAUCACUAGAAAUUUUAUCACAUAUCUAUAUGUGUAAAAACCACAUACCGAGAGCACAAAGGUGUGUUUGAAAAUAACAUACAAUAAAUAAUAAACGUACGGCUUAAAACUAAUUAAUAAUAACACAUAAAAUAUGUAUGAUAUUAAAAUAGAAAAAAAUGAGAUUAAAUUAUGAGUAAGACGAAAUUUAAACACAUAAAUGCAUCAACUUAAGAAUACUAAAUUGAGUAUAAUUAUCUAUCAUGAUGUUGUCAUCAAUCUUGAGUUGGUGUCGAGUGAACUUGUGACAUCAACUCAAUCAAAAACAUUAUUAAUAUAUACAACUGAUGGAGGUAAUGAAUUGUGCACAUUAAAAUAAAAACAUUAAAACGAAGUUUUGCUUUAGUGGUAAAUUUAAUAUUUUACUAAUCCAAUUAACAUGGUUUUAAAUCUCAUUGUAUACAUAUUUUAUUGGUUUUUGUUAAAAUAAGAAGACUUAAUUACAGAAUGACAUUUCCAUAAAUUUCCUAACCGAAUUGGUGAUGGUUGACUCGUGACACUAACUCAAUAAAAAGCUUUAUAAAUAGUAUAAAUAAUUAUGUGCCAAAUGGACUAAAAUUAUUUAAUACAUUAUUAUCGUACAAAUAUUUGAACUCUACAAAUAAGAUUCAAAAAUAUAGAAUGAGACAUGUAGAAGCAUUUGAAGUUGUAAUAUAAAAAAAUUCCACUGUCAAUGUAUUAAAUAUUAAUCUUAAAAUAAAUAUAUAUUUUAAUUGUUAUAAGUGUAAAAUAAUAUUAAUCUUAAAAUAAAUAUAUAUUUUAAUUGUUAUAAGUGUAAAAUAAUAAUAUUAUUUGGAAAAGCCCCUUUCUUCAUUCCAUUAUAGUACUAUAUGUACUAUUAUGGGUAUAAAUCCUAGUUGCUAGACUUUGAAUUUUCGGAUUAGCUAUGUCAAUGCUCCAUGGGGUAUUUACUAUGAUGAACGGACGGUUAGGAUUUAAUCCAAUUCAGAUGUGGUCUAGACUUUGUAUGAGAUUAAAUUAAGUCAUCAACUUAUAAUGUCCAUUGUCCAAGGCAAAAGGAGUACUUUUACGACGUCGUCGAUACUAAAUAUCUUUAAAUUAUUAUGUAAUUUGACUGUACCCCAGGGUUUUGUUGUAAUUUCCUCUAAUGGCUAAAUAUAUAAAAAGAAAAAAGACAAUUUUCAACCACUUUUUCGAAUUCCA